rnacentral:rRNA from 1 species
AUUGAACGCUGGCGGCAUGCCUUACACAUGCAAGUCGAACGGUAACGGGCCUUCGGGUGCCGACGAGUGGCGAACGGGUGAGUAAUGUAUCGGAACGUACCUUUCAGUGGGGGAUAACGUAGCGAAAGUUACGCUAAUACCGCAUAUUCUGUGCGCAGGAAAGCAGGGGAUCGCAAGACCUUGCGCUGAUUGAGCGGCCGAUAUCAGAUUAGCUAGUUGGUGAGGUAAAGGCUCACCAAGGCGACGAUCUGUAGCGGGUCUGAGAGGAUGAUCCGCCAAACUGGAACGGAGACACGGUCCAGACUCCUACGGGAGGCAGCAGUGGGGAAUUUUGGACAAUGGGGGCAACCCUGAUCCAGCCAUGCCGCGUGAGUGAAGAAGGCCUUCGGGUUGUAAAGCUCUUUCGGCCGGGAAGAAAUCGUAUCAGCUAAUACCUGGUGCGGAUGACGGUACCGGCAUAAGAAGCACCGGCUAACUACGUGCCAGCAGCCGCCGUAACAC